rnacentral:rRNA from 1 species
AACGAACGCUGGCGGCGUGGAUAAGACAUGCAAGUCGGACGAGAUUUUUCGUUGUAGCAAUACGAUGGAAAGUCUAGUGGCGAACGGGUGCUUAACACGUGGGCAACCUGCCGAGAAGUGGGGGACAGCUCGCCGAAAGGCGGAUUAAUACCGCAUGUGAUUAGAGAGGACAUCCUUUCGAAAUUAAAGUCGGGGCAACCUGACGCUUCUUGUGGGGCCCGCGGCCUAUCAGCUAGUUGGUGAGGUAACGGCCCACCAAGGCUUUGACGGGUAGCUGGUCUGAGAGGACGACCAGCCACACUGGGACUGAGACACGGCCCAGACACCUACGGGUGGCAGCAGUCGAGAAUUUUUCUCAAUGGGGGAAACCCUGAAGGAGCGACGCCGCGUGGAGGAUGAAGGUCUUCGGAUUGUAAACUCCUGUCAUUGGGGAACAAUGGUUACGCGUUAACUGCGCGUGACUUGAUAGUACCCGAAGAGGAAGAGACGGCUAACUCUGUGCCAGCAGCCGCGGUAACAC